rnacentral:rRNA from 1 species
GGGAAACUGCCUGAUGGAGGGGGAUAACUACUGGAAACGGUGGCUAAUACCGCAUAACGUCGCAAGACCAAAGAGGGGGACCUUCGGGCCUCUUGCCAUCAGAUGUGCCCAGAUGGGAUUAGCUUGUUGGUGAGGUAACGGCUCACCAAGGCGACGAUCCCUAGCUGGUCUGAGAGGAUGACCAGCCACACUGGAACUGAGACACGGUCCAGACUCCUACGGGAGGCAGCAGUGGGGAAUAUUGCACAAUGGGCGCAAGCCUGAUGCAGCCAUGCCGCGUGUAUGAAGAAGGCCUUCGGGUUGUAAAGUACUUUCAGCGGGGAGG